UGACUGGUACUGCAUGUCAGGCUGUAGUACGACAGACAGACAGACCGAAAGGGCAACUCAAGCCAGAUUUAAAGAGCAACUGCCCCUAAAAAGCAACUACUCCCUUUGAAAAUGGUAUAUGUGGCAUCGAUAUAAGUCAGAAACAUUUCUUUUUUGGGGUCAAAAUUGACUACAAAGUGGAAAUAGGAUAAUUUUGGUCAUACAGUGUAAAACUGAGUUUGGAACCUCAGUGCGUCACGAGUAAAUUAAGGAUGAGUUUGGAUUACAAUUGUCAACAAUUCAUGCCCCCUUUUGCCAAGCUCCACGUGCAAAUCGCCCCUCCGCUUCCCUUCAUUGAAUGGGGCAUAAUUGUUUCAUCACCCCCAACGCUUUCAAAGGAUCACGGAACCUAUACGGAUUGAACAUGCCUUCACUGCCAAAGUUUUAUGGUAUGCAUGCCCGGCCGAAGAACCCUUGUAUGUGGAAUAUGUGCUUGGAGUUCGUCGGUCCCCAAGUCUGCACCAGUAACGCUAGUUUGGUGUGCAACGACCGGUGGUGGCCCUCCCAGUCAACACCACCUCAUAAGAUGAGGUGGUGUUUAAAAGGUUUGCCUGCUGCAGUUGUUCGAGAGAUGUCCAGUUUGCAGCCGAACAUGCAACAUAGAAAAGACCAGCAAGGGAACUCUCAGCAUCACGUAGACAUGCCCUCGCUGUGCGCUUUCCUAUAAAUGGAAUCAGUAUCUUUGAUGAGGGGCCAGGAGCUGAUCUGCGCUGCCAUGCCCAUCAAUGGGGCACUGGCAAAGGCCUCACCUCUUGCCUGCUCACCAAC